rnacentral:piRNA from 1 species
UUGAUGAACAAGGGUUCUCCAGCCUCUCGC